rnacentral:siRNA from 1 species
UUUGAGAGUGUCUUUACGAGA